UACGUAGGGUGCAAGCGUUAAUCGGAAUUACUGGGCGUAAAGCGUGCGCAGGCGGUGAUGUAAGACAGUUGUGAAAUCCCCGGGCUCAACCUGGGAACUGCAUCUGUGACUGCAUCGCUGGAGUGCGGCAGAGGGGGAUGGAACUCCGCGUGUAGCAGUGAAAUGCGUAGAUAUGCGGAGGAACACCGAUGGCGAAGGCAAUCCCCUGGGCCUGCACUGACGCUCAUGCACGAAAGCGUGGGGAGCAAACAGG
rnacentral:rRNA from 1 species